rnacentral:rRNA from 1 species
AUUGAACGCUGGCGGCAGGCUUAACACAUGCAAGUCGAACGAGUGGCGGACGGGUGCGUAAUGCUUGGGAAUCUAGCUUAUGGAGGGGGAUAACUACGGGAAACAGUAGCUAAUACCGCGUACCAUAGGAUGAGCCCAAGUGGGAUGAGGUAGUUGGUGAGGGAAAGGCUCACCAAGCCGACGAUCUCUAGCUGGUCUGAGAGGAUGACCAGCCCCACUGGGACUGAGACCCGGCCCAGACUCCGACGGGAGGCAGCAGUGGGGAAUAUUGCGCAAUGGGGGCAACCUGACGCAGCCAUGCCGCGUGAAUGAAGAAGGCCUUCGGGUUGUAAAGUUCUUUCGGUAGCGAGGCGUUAACUACAGAAGAAGCACCGGCUAACUCCGUGCCAGCAGCCGCGGUAAUUC